CAACAGAAAUUUAUUGUCUUGUUAUAGGGUCUGGAAUUCCCAACUCCUAAGGUAUUGGUAGACUAUCUUCUCUCUGUAAUCUGUAGUGGAAUCCUUUCUUUCCUGUUCUUACCUUCUGGUGGUUUUCUGACAAUCUUUGGUGUUCUUGACUUGUAGAUGCAUCAUUCCAGUUCUCCAUCUUCCCAUGGCAUCCUUCCCACACCUCUAUCUUUUCACAUAGUCUUCUUUCUUUCUUUCUUUUUUAAGAUCUCUAGUGAUGUGGAAUUGGGCCCACACUACUCCAUUAUGACCUCAUCUUAACUUAUUACAUCUGUAAUGAUCCUGUUAAAGAAAGUGUGUAACAUUGUGAAGGAGUUAGGAUUUCAGCAUAUGAAUUUUGAGGGGGACACAGUUCAACAAUCUUCUGUUCAGGAUAACAACAGAUCCCUUUGAUAACUAAGCCAGAUUGUUCAUGUUCUUUGAACUUGGCUGAAAAAAAAUGUUUAUAUUUCAACCUGCUGAGCUGCUCACAUUUAAAAGAGAAUAAGUGGCUUCUUCAAAUCAACACACCUGGGGCAGCGGAGACUUGCCUCACAAACAAUGGCUGAGAGAGACACCUGGCUGCGGGAGCAUCAAGUAGCUGCAUUGUUAAGCCUGCUGAAUUGUGGAGAAUGCGCGUUCAGCAAAUCACAGUUCCUAAAAAGUUAAUGUUCUCUCUGUACUUUUGCUCACCAGUACAUAGAACUCUAAAAUGGCUGCUCCAUGGGCCCCUAAAGGGCAUAGCUUCCAAGUGGCUAUACCAGUUGACAUUCCUACCAACAACACAUAAGGAUUUCUUUUUCUCCACAUCCUAUGGAUAAUUGCCAGUGACAGAAAUGACAGUCAACUAGCUUAAGAAAAACAAAACUUCAUGUACCUGGAAAGCACAGGAAUGAACUCUAGUCAUGUCUGGAAUUGAGACUCAAAUGACAUCAGCAGAAGUUUGUCUUGAGCUAUCACUUUGCUCUGAUUUUAUUUUAUUUUUGGACUAUCUUCAUUCUGGUGUUUCCUAUAUGGUGGCAAAGGUGGCCAUCAUCAACUCUAAGUUUAUAUCAUUCUUACAUCUGGGGGUUUAAGGCAAAAGAAAGUGUAUUUUUCUAAAUCCUCUAUGCAAAAUUCUGAGGGAUGACCCUUCUUGGUCCAGACUGAGUCACACAUCUAUUCCAGACUUAAUCACAGUGACCGAUGGAAUAAAGUACUUGG
rnacentral:lncRNA from 1 species